GAUGAACGCUGGCGGCGUGCUUAACACAUGCAAGUCGAACGGUGAACGAGGGAGCUUGCUCCCUCCGGAUCAGUGGCGAACGGGUGAGUAACACGUGAGCAAUCUGCCCUGGACUCUGGAUAAGCGUUGGAAACGACGUCUAAUACCGGAUACGAGGCGUGGGGGCAUCCCCAACGCCUGGAAAGAACUUCGGUCCAGGAUGAGCUCGCGGCCUAUCAGCUAGUUGGUGAGGUAACGGCUCACCAAGGCGACGACGGGUAGCCGGCCUGAGAGGGUGACCGGCCACACUGGGACUGAGACACGGGCCAGACUCCUACGGGAGGCAGCAGUGGGGAAUAUUGCACAAUGGGCGCAAGCCUGAUGCAGCAACGCCGCGUGAGGGACGACGGCCUUCGGGUUGUAAACCUCUUUUAGCAGGGAAGAAGCGAAAGUGACGGUACCUGCAGAAAAAGCACCGGCUAACUACGUGCCAGCCGCCGCGGUAACAC
rnacentral:rRNA from 1 species